UACGGAGGGUCCAAGCGUUAUCCGGAAUCAUUGGGUUUAAAGGGUCCGUAGGCGGUUUUGUAAGUCAGUGGUGAAAGCCCAUCGCUCAACGGUGGAACGGCCAUUGAUACUGCAAGACUUGAAUUAUUAGGAAGUAACUAGAAUAUGUAGUGUAGCGGUGAAAUGCUUAGAGAUUACAUGGAAUACCAAUUGCGAAGGCAGGUUACUACUAAUGGAUUGACGCUGAUGGACGAAAUCGUUGGUAGCGAACAGG
rnacentral:rRNA from 1 species